AUUCUCCACAGAGGGAGGUUUGUGAUUUCGAAGCUGGCCGGAAGUGAGAUGAUAAGCAGGGGUUUGAGCUCACCACUAUUCUUGCAAGACUUGAGCAAAAUUAGUUCAAAUACUUAGGCAAAAUAGCCAACAGAUACAUUACUAUGACUAUUUGUUAUAAUUAGUUUCUUUGUCU